AUCCAGCUGACGAGUUCCAAAUAGGACGAAACGUGCGUCCUGAAU
rnacentral:hammerhead_ribozyme from 1 species